GCAGAGCUCUAUGCAAAUCGACUCGAAAGCGGGUUUUUGCAUCGAUGACUACCGAAGUAACGCGAGGAAGGGCCAUCAGUUUUAAGUUUCGAGCUGAACGGAGAAGAGGCAUGCGAAUCGUACGUCGUACGCGAACGAUUUUCGGAGCAGAAAACGAAAGAUUGACGGAACGGAGAGGGUGGUAGUGGUGACUGUGGUCGCGCUGCUACUGCUCUUGGUGAUGGUGGGGGUGGUAGUGGUGAAGAAAAAUGGCGGGAAAAGCCGGUGAGUGCGUGGGCGCAGGAUCGAUGAAGAGCACAAAAUGGCGACGGUAGGGAAGGACGGAACGACUAGAAAGAAGAGGAGGCUGCGAGUGUAGAAGGGGUGGUUUUCAAGGGGGUGGACGGCGUGAGAGGGAGGAAAAGAGAGAUAGACAGAGGGAAAAGAGAAAGAGAAAGAGAGACAGAACGACGAGGAGAGAGCAACGUGCCGCAGAAGGGAGAAAGAUUGCUGGAAUUCGGAGUGGACUUUUCCUUCGUCACGAGACGGACGAACUUUAAUAUGUUUAUAAAAUUCACAUUUAUAGAUCGAAGAUGUUAUUUAAAGAUUCGACCAAAUAUCGACUCAAGGAAGGAGUGUACGACUGGAAACUAUGUAAAAAGUUCGACAGGUUGGCCGGUAGAAAACCGCAGCGAUCGGUGUUAGUCGGGUUUCCAAGAGUUGCUACGGUCGAAUUUGGAAAGAGGACUACGAUGAAAAUGGAACGCAACUUUACAACAUGGACAGACACGUACAGGCGUGACAGGGUGCUGCCCUCUGCGGGCUAAAAUUAGAGGGUGCUGUCCGAAGUUCUCCGCUACACGUUUGCAUUUCCUAUGCACUAUUUCCCACGUGUGGGUGCGUACAGUCCAGUACGAAAGCUGGAUACCUCACCGCAAACGAGAUACACACGUUGCGGAUUCACGGACUCGCUGAUGCAAUAUUUCUAUCAGUUUACCGUGCCGGAAUAUGAAACAAAAAAAAAAGGAAGACUGGACCGCGUGGUUGAGUGGCGAGAGAGUGAGAGAAAGAGAAAAAACGAUAGGGUGGGUAAGAGAUGGCUGAUAGAGAGGGAGGAAAAAAAUGCUUUCGGCUUUCUACGCUCGCCCAAAUAUUUUCGUUUUGUUCUACGCGCUCCUGGCGCUUUUCAAAAUCGAUCUUCCAUUAUCGUCCGAUUCUCCUCUAUAGGUCCGCUGUAACCGAAAUUGAAAGUUUACGCGGUAUAUCCCCCUCCCCACGUUUAUUUAUCGUAUAUGAACUCAUUUUGUAGUCUAUCACUAUUUUCGUCUUAGUAUUUACUUAUCUACUUAGAUUAGAUCGAUGACGUGCAAGAUGUAUUUAUUUGCACAUACGAAACAUUUAUAUCAACGAGCAUCGUCAAUUAUGAGAAGAAAUAUCAAAGAAGGAAAGAUUAAUUGAUCGAUUCAAAAUGACCUUUGCAAGGAACAGGACUAAAUAUAUCGUUCAAUGUUUUUCAACCCCGAAGACGUUUCGCGGUCAGCCUAUUGAGAAAUUUUUACCUCCUGGGCAUCGCGACUCUAAUUAUUCUUUCUUUGACCUUAUAUAAAAAAGAGUCGAUCAAAGAUAAAACUUUUACACAAGAAAAAGAAAUCUCUGUCUCUAAGGGACUUUUGCGAAGGACUGUAUCCGUGUAUCCGGUGUACCCUCUCCAGAGGCAUUAGACGCAGUGUAUCGGCGGCCGUGCUCGUGCGCGAGUAUUAGACACCAUGCCCACAGCUCAUUUGCCAACUCCGGCAAAUUUACCAAAUUUAAAUGCAAAAUCGGCCGGUGCUCCGUCGCUUCGUGAGCGCCUGGCUGAGAGCGAGAUAGAAAGAGAAAGAGAUAGAGAUGGCGAAGGAGAAAGAGGGGAAUAUAGAAGAGGUGGAUGGAUCGAGCAAGAGAGAGAAAGAGAUGAAAAUAGAGAGAGAGCUAAAGGGAAUAGGAACGGUAGACCGAGAGGGUAGUGGCCGCUGUUGGAAUAGGAUGGACGGAUAGCGAACGAGCGUGAAUCUGUAAGAGAGAAAGAGAGGUAGAGAGGGAGAGAGAGCAAGAGAGAGAAAGAGAGAGAUAAAGAGAGAGAGAGAGAGAGAGGGUGGACAGAAUAUAGAUGGAUAGAGGCGCGAUAGUGGAGCGUGCGCGGGAGAAUGAGAGGUAGAAACUCGUCGGUAGUAGGAAACUCAAAUGGUCGCAAUGGUGCAGUAUAGUAGUCGGCUGGUUGUCAGAAGCAGCGUGCGAUUGGUUCACCGGGUAUGCCUGGCCUUUCUACCUUUCCUACGUCGUUCCUGCCUCGUUCCUCUCACUUCCGUCUCCCUUUUCUCAUUUCAGAUAACUCGCGCGAGUCCUUUUGGCUAUUUGCUUUCGUUCUUCACGAUGGCUUUUUUAUCAGCUGAUUUUUCUAUUUCUUUCGAAUUCUAUCGACUUUUCUCAGAUACUUUAUAGACAUUUAGAAUCUAAUGAAUAUAGUAUCAGCUGUUAAAUCACUAUAUCUCGAUCGUCUGCUUACGAAGAGAAACGAUAAAGCGACAACAACAGGAUAGCGAGUUUGUUAGGCCUGUUAGAUUUCGUACCAUGUGACGGGUUUAGUUGAAUUUUUCUUAGAGAACGUUAACAUGUUAUGGAAAUUAUGUCUCUUUAAAUAAAAACAACAAAAACAUAUAAAGAGAGAUGAAAAUAUAUAGAUAUCCUAUAUUCGAAAGAUUAAAAAAAAAAAAACGGUGAAUGGCUAUUUAUUAUUUCAGAACGGUGAAUGUAAUGAGAGAAUGAAAAAAAUUGUUAACCGAUAAAAUACAGUUAGCACUAUCUCGACUGAUCUUUUCCAAAAACUUUUCGUAUCGUUUCUCCUUUUAUGUAAACCACGAACAUUGCCAAAGGGUUAGCAAUUAUUAUUCUCCAUGCACUUCUCGCCGUUUUGUUGUUCAUUGGCUCGACCGUUUAUUAUUCAUCGUUCGUCAUAUAGAGGUGCACGUUACAUACUGUGCGACGUAACGACGUGGCCCGGGAUACAUGUCGUGUGCCCCGCGUUGUUUUACACAAUGUUACAACCGGCUGACGUACUACCGGCCGGGGCAUAAAGGCGUGUAAGAGAAGGACAGAGCGAGGGCCGCAUGUUCAGGGCUGCGUUAAAACGACGAACUUGUUUCACCGAAUGUAGAAUUAUGCUACGUUUGUUUCGGAUCUUUCAUAAAAAUGGACUUUGAGGAAGGUAUUCUUUCUUGUAAAUUUCAUUAUCGUGUGUUAUUAUUACGAUACUUCAAUUAUGUAAUAGAAAAUUAUCUUAAGCUGUAGAAUAAGGAAAAGGAUACAUACGUUAAAUACAAGAUGUAAAAAAUAAUGAAAAUGUAUCUUGUGAUACUAUGUAACAAGAGAGAAAAAGUCUUAAACAGGUAAAGUUUGAUAUUAAUAGAGGAAAUCCGGCGUGCCGUGCUGCGGUAAAUAUAUCUCGGUUCUUCUUCAUGCUUUCUCGUUCCACCGCGGUAAUUUUUAAUCCUAGAGAAAUUUAUGAAACAGUCCGUAUUUCAUUAUACGCCGUAAUAAAGAUGUAGAUAGAUAAUCAUGGAAGUCCUUAAUUAAAAUCAUUACUUUCGUUGGUAAAAGUUUGAGACGCGUGGGACUCUUUUUGGUCGUGUUCUUGUUCACGUGUCUCGUGACAUAGAGAUUUUAUUUUUGAAGAAUCGUUUAGAAAAAUGAUCAUUACAAAAAAAGGAUUAAAAUCGAAGUAUCGACGAUGUUCACGAUCUUGCGAAGAUGUAAAAAAACUACGAACUAUCGUAAAUAUUUUACAAAGAAAUCUCUCUUUACAUUAUGUAUUCGCAUUUGGUAAUAGCCCUAAGCAAGAAUGAAAUAUGUAUGAUUACACACAUUUCAAUAUAAUUACAAUACAUUAUAAUAUCCGGUGCAGUCUUCAAUUAUUCUAUGCAAAUUCCAAAUAUGUAUAUCUAAGAGACUUUUAAAAUCGAAUGAAUGUAUUUCGAGAUAAUAUAUGAAAGAUUCAAAAGAAAUAUAUAUAUAUAUAAUAUAUACUUAUAGAUAUAAAGAAGAACAGAGAGGGAUGUAUAAAAAGAAAUUAAUAAGCGAAAAUGCAUAGACAGUAAUGAAAAUAUAAUAGUCUACGUUCCCUUUAAUAUCGAAAUUUUGCGAGUUGGAUAAAGCUUCCUCGUUUCGGUGAUAAUUUCGACCGAUCAGUAAGGAUAGCGUCGCGUUUUGCGUUUCGCACAUGUAUUUUCUCUUUACUGUUAGCACCUAACAAAAAACUCACGAUUGCAUGUCACCAUGCGUGUGUCCAUAAAAUAAUCGACAAAAUAAUGGAUCGGGUACGUCGACCACUGAUUUUAUUGCAUAAAGAAUGUUAUUAUCCUUUACAAUAUUCAUCAUGUUUUUCAGACGCGUACGAAUUGCGUUUUUAUAAUUAUCGCGAAUGGAACCGUGCGUUAACGCGAGGUAUUCGAGUGCGCGAGAGCACACGCGCAUGAGUGCUAAUGAAACCGAUGAAACAUUGCACUGUUAUACUCAUCGAAUUCAGAUUGACGCAGAGAACGCGAAAGAUCUUGCUUGUUACGAGAUAUAGAUUAUAUUUAAGGCUUAGACGUGUGUGAAGCAUAUUGAAUAGCAGGAAAGAGAACGACUCUGCGUAUCGAUCGCAAGUUUAUUUUGAUUAUAUAAGUUUUCUUCUUUUUUAUAUAUAUUGGCGAAACAAAUUUUGUAGCUUUGUAUACUAUAUACGAGAAAAGGUUGCUUGUAUGUUUUUCUUUGCGUUUCAUUGUUAUUUUAUCUAAAUAUACUUAUUCUUUGUGACUUUAGUUUAAUGAGAAGCAAUAUCUAAUAUUCUUUAAUAUGCUGUAAAAAUACGAAGUAGAUCAAAUUAAUGUUAUUUUAUUCAUCUUUCUUUUUCUUUCUUAUUAUUAUAUUCGUUAUUAUUUCUUCGACCAACAUUUUGUGAACCGAAAACGACACGUGUCAUGAUGUAACAUAUGCCUUUUGCUUGUGUUAGAUACACGUAUAGAAAGAGCUCGAGAAAUGGCGGAAAAGAGGAAUUUUGUGAAAAAGGGAGGCCGAGAGACUUGAACCAUUUAUAUUCGACCCUCUUAAAAUGCGUGGGAAUGCGGGCAUCAUUAACGUUCCUCCCCUUAAGCGUUCCUCACUAUUCCUCUUCCUCUCUCUUUCGCUCUCUUUCUCUCUGUGUCUUAUGGUUGAUGCACGCUCUCCUCGAGCUUUAUUAACCAGUUGCGGUGGCCGAGCUCGCGCUAUCCAAUAAGCUUGUGGCUCGUCUAUCGUAUCUUUUUUAGCGUUUUACAACAAACACGCCUGGUGUUUUUACAUAUCGGUUUGCGAAAAAUAUCUGUAAUGCGAUAAUUUUCUUCCCUUAGAAAAUAAUUAAGACAAACGAACGAUAGAUCGAAUUUGUCAGAAAUUUUUAUAUUCUUAUUUUGCUAAAAAUAUGUAUCAAAAGACAAUAAAUAACUAUGUAUCAAAAAUAA